GGGAGGGCCGGGGAUGGUUUCUGGGGGCGGCUGCGGGGGUACGGAGGCGGAGAAGCGGUACCCCGUGGUUCUGCCUUCGCCCCUCGGCUCGGGGAGGGCCGCGGGAGGGAGGAGGGAGCUGCGGAGCGGGGCAGAGGCAUUCCUGCCGCCGCCCCGGGAGCCGAGGCAUCGGAGAAACGGGCAUUUAUAGGUGACGUACGGGCUUACGUGGGAGCUCGUGCCCAGCACCGCUCUCCCAGCGCCGUUUCUACUGACACGACACCUUCCCGCAGCGCGCACCCCCCUUUUCCAGGCUGGGGGGGGGGGGGGAGGGUUGGGGGGGAGCGGGAGGGGACAGCAAAAGGGAAAAGAAAAGCGGCCCUUUCUUAUCCCGCUCGGGAGACGAGCCCCGGAGCUCCGAAAGUGAGCGGAGGGCGAUGGAGGGCGGCGGGGAGCGGGCCGGGACGCGUCCCCGUGCUCCGAGAGCGGGGCGAAGCGGCGGGGGAGGCGGGCAGCGCAGGAACGCGCCCGGGGACCGCAGCGCCUUCAGCUCCCGGAGCCGCGGGCACCGCUCGGGUGAAUCGGGGAUGAAACGUGGGAGAAAUGCGGGAGGGGAGGCGAGAAAAGGUCGGGAGCGAAGUGAGGCUGUGAGAGCGGAGGGGGAUUUGUGAAAUAGAUAGAUAUGUGGAUAAUCAUUUUUCUCUUUCCUCGCUCUGCAAAAGCUGCAGGCGAAACGCUAAAUGUAUAAUUGUGUAAAGGGGAAUAUAAGGAUGAGAAAAAUGGAGGGGGAGCGGAGGAAGGAAGAGAGGGAAGGAGAGAAAGGCACGCGGCACCGCCGUGCUCGUGUCCUGAGUUCGGCCGGAGCUCACGGGCGGGAUGCUGCGGGCACAGCACGGCACGGCCCGGCCCGGCCUGACCGUCGGGGCGGCACGGACGGCACGGCCCGGUAUCGCACGGCCCGGCCCGGCCCGGCCCGCUGGAGGGACCCUCUGCCUCUUUCUCCCUUUCUGCCGCCGCCCCCCACGGAAAGCUCGUGGUCCUGCUCUGCCCGACGGCUGCGGUGCCGCACCGCACCGUGCCGUGCCGAGCUGAGCUGUGCUGGGCUGGGCUGUGCUGGGCUAUGCUGGGCUGUGCUGUGCUGUGCUGUGCUGUGCUGGGCUGUGCUGGGCUGUGCUGUGCUGUGCUGUGCUGUGCCGGGCCGUGCAGUGCCGGGCCGUGCCGUGCCGCUCCGGGGAGCCUCGCGGACUUUCAGCACUUGGACAGCGGUGCGGGAGCCGGGCCGUGCCGGGCUGUGCCGGGAGGGUCGGGGGGAGCGCACGCAGUGAUGCUCCGUACGGCGGAGGCAAUGGGGAGGCGGCGUUCCUUCCUGAACGCCGGGCGUGGGGACACGGCCGAGGGGGCUCCGGGGAGCACCCCUGGAGGGGUACCUCGCCCCGACCCCCCCGCAGCUGGAAGAAAGCUCCGGGAGGCGCAGCCGUGCCCCGGCGGUGCGCCGCGGCCCCGCAGAGGGCACGGGGCCCCGAGGGGGCGGCAGAGGGCGGCUCGAUGGGGUGUGGGGGGAGAGCCCCCUUUCCCCCAUCUUCGGGGGGUAAUUAGGGGUGACACGGAGGGGCUGCGGUUUCUGCUCGGUGGAGCUGCCGGCGACCAACCCCCGCCGCCGCCGCCUUCCUCCCGUCCUCCUCCUCUCACCCUCCCUCCUUCCCUCCCCCCGCCUUCUCCCCUCCCCCUCUCCCUCCUCCUCCUCUCCGCCAUGGUUGGAGUGAAUCGGAGGCUGCCGGGCUGACGUCAGUGCGGGCAGAGCCUGCCGCCGGCGGCAGCUCCUGGACACCGACCAGAACCGGCACCGGCAGCAGCCGGCAGGACGCGAAGAGCCCGGGCACCGCCGCCCCCCGCACCGGGGGUACCGGGGGCGCCGGGGGCAGAGCCCUGCCCGCCCCGCCGCUCUCCCUCCGGGAAGGGCGGCCCCCGCCGCCCGCUUCGCCCACGGACGGCCCCGUCGCUGCCCUCGCCUCGGCUGCAAGCAGCUGACUGCGAGUUCGUGGAGCGGGAUGCCUUGGGAAGGGAUGGGACAUCUCCACCUGAGCGAGGAGAGGCCCCUGGAGCAGAACGGAGGUGUAAUGCUGAGGAGCUGCAGGGCAGAGCACAGCUUUGGUCACUUUGGAGUUGGAGAUCUUGAGCCGGGGAGGAGAUCCCAGUGAGAGGAGAAGGGAUGUCCCCAGCCUGACAGCUCCUUCCUGGCUGCGCUCUGCCCGCUCUCUGCCCGAUGUCUCCGGGAUUCUCCAGGAGGGACCCAACCUGCCGUGGCCCCAGCAAGAGGCAGCAUUGGCUGCUGGACGUGGAGGGGUUCUGCAUUGCUUCGCACCUGUGGGGGGGGAGCCAGGGGAUGGGGAGCCUGGCAAAAAUCCCAUGUAACUCCUGUAUGUCACCUCCAGGACCCAAAUACCCCUGGGCAGAGAGGUGUGAGCACCGUCCCAGCUGGGUGUGGGGAUGUUGGUGGGAGCAGGAGGGAGGUCUGAGCGGGAUGGAUGCCAUGUUAAGGGGCUCUGCUCAUGGAGCAGAGCUUGGCCUACACUGUGCGUGCGUGCGUGAUGGACUGAGCGUGGGCUGGCCACGCCUGGUCCAGGCGGUGUUCCAUUGCACUGUAAGAAAAAUGCACUGUAAUUCCCCCCUAAUUAAAAUCAACCCCACCCCGUGCACUGUUGCAAAUAAACACUCCUUUCUGCAAAAGCGAGCUGUGUGAUGUGGUGCAGUACUGAGACGGAG
ensembl:lncRNA